GACGAACGCUGACGGUGUGCUUUAGACAUGCAAGUCGAACGAGAAAGCCCUUCGGGUGAGUACAGUGGCGAACGGGUGAGUAACACGUGGGCAAUCUGCCCCUCGCAGGGGGAGUAACCGGGGGAAACCCCGGCUAAUACCCCGUACGCUUGCGGAGUCGCAUGGCUCCGCAAAGGAAAGGUAGCUUCGGCCAUCCGGCGAGGGAUGAGCCCGCGGUACAUUAGCUAGUUGGUGGGGUAACCGGCCCACCAAGGCGACGAUGCAUAGCUGGUCUGAGAGGAUGAUCAGCCACACUGGGACUGAGACACGGCCCAGACUCCUACGGGAGGCAGCAGUCGGGAAUCUUGCGCAAUGGGCGAAAGCCUGACGCAGCAACACCGUGUGAGCGACGAAGGCC
rnacentral:rRNA from 1 species